rnacentral:rRNA from 1 species
UACGUAGGUGGCAAGCGUUGUCCGGAUUUACUGGGCGUAAAGGGCGUGCAGGCGGCUUGUUAAGUGCAGGGUGAAAGCUCCCGGCUCAACUGGGAGAGGUUCUUGCAUACUGGCGAGCUCGAGGGAGGCAGAGGAAAGUGGAAUUCCCGGUGUAGUGGUGAUAUGCGUAGAUAUCGGGAGGAACACCUGUGGCGAAGGCGGCUUCCUGGCCGAGUACUGACGCUGAGGCACGAAAGCGUGGGGAGCGAACGGG